UACUACCGGGUUAUGAUGCCUUCAAUAUAAAACAGCUCGGGAUUUUAAUAUAAAAUUGUACAUAUAAGCGAUUUAAAAAAAUAAUCUAAGCAUUAGACACACACUGACUAUGGAAUUUCAAAAUUACAUACAUAUAUUUUCAAUAUUGAUGAUUUAAGCGCGAUAUGGUAUUGCAACGAGGAGUUGGACGUUCACAUUUACAAUGAGGACCUGAACGCACCAGGGUUCUAGCAACGACUAAAAACACCAACAUACUCAUUGUGAGUUUCAUCAUUAUGCUUAAAUAUCGAAUGUGACUUUUCAGAAAUGUGCCCGAAUAUUAUACGAGAUUCGUGGAUUAAUUUAUUUGAAUUUUUUUUUAGUAUAUGCGUAGGUGAGACGAGAAGCAUUGCCCUCCGUGUUAGCAUUAGCUACCUUAGUUAGUUUUACCAUGACAACAUGGGAGAAAAACCAGGACAAAGUCUUUCUUCUGACGAGCAAAAAUAUCUGGCCCAAAGACUCACCGCCUUUCUGCACCAGUACAGGUUCUUAUCGGAGUCAUAUGUGAUUGAGUUCUUCACUGAGGAUUUGUGGCAGCAGUUACCUGUCAGCUGGCAGUCUGUCCUGCAGCACCUGUCCUACCCUCAGACUGCAGACCUGCUGCUGGACGCCGACUAUCAACCCAGGAGGUAUCCGUGCGUGUGGCCGCUGUCCCUACUGGCUUUCCGGGCCUCAGCCCACGCGCUCACCUUCCCCAGACACUCCUGGCGGGGUGCGGGCGGCACGGACGCGUCAGCCAAGCCCCAAGAGUUCCGCGACAAUCCGCACCAGAGCUCCCUGCUGGCCCACAUCUUCCGCAAGCACGUCAAGCCCAAGAAGCAGCACGAGAUCCGCAAGCUGGGCGCGUUGGUGGAGCAACUCUGCGAGCAGACCGGGUGCAAGCGAGUGGUGGACGUAGGCUCCGGACAGGGCCAUUUGACUCGCUUCCUGUCAUACGGGUGCGGUUUGUCCGUGACCGCCAUCGAGGCUGAUCCCACCUUGGUUGCCACGGCGACCAAGUUUGACGGAGAGCUACUACUGGCGUUGAAGAAGGAAGAACAGAAACGGAAGUGUUCUUAUGAGCUGCCAUCAUCACCUCGCCACGUGACAGGUUGGGUGGACCCCAAGGCAUCAUGGGAGGUUUUCGUCAAACAGCUGGAAGGUGACGUUAUUCCAGCGGGACACUGCGAAAAGCGAGCGCGGGUGUCGCCAUGCUGCGGCGCGCUGGACUCCAAAUCAUCCGGUCCUUCUGGGGACUUUGUCCUGACCGGUCUACACGCCUGCGGGGACCUCAGCCCCACCCUCCUCCGCCAUUUCGUCAAAUGCCCGCACAUCCGCGCCAUCACCUCUGUGGCGUGCUGCUACAUGAAACUCUCCACCCAGGAGCAGCCCGCCCCUCCGGGCGUGGUCGGGCCGCCGCCGUCGACCUCAAACCGGGACCCGCCACGCUCGGACUUUGGCUACCCCAUGAGCGAGCAUGUGCGGGCCUUGCCGGGACACGAGCUGUCCUACAAGGCGCGGGAGGGGGCGUGUCACGCCGUGGAGCACUACAUCGGGAGGCUGCGGGAGGAGAGCGCGCUGCUGCGCACGCACUGCUACCGCGCCACGUUGGAGGCCUUCGUCACAGGGGCCAGGCCGCAGCUGCGCAGGGCGGGGAUCCAGACUGUGAAGAAAGCCCACUUGCUAACCUUCACCGAAUUACACAACGUGCCAACUUCACUGCUUUUGGGUUCUGUAAACAAACAAAUACUGAAUCAGGUACGCCAAGUUGGGUCUGGCCCGGGUCGGCCUCCCCCCCUCCCUCCCUCUCGACCCGGGCCGCGUGGAGCGCAUGCUGGCGCAGCAAGGCAAGGUGGUCGCCUACUUCAGCCUUGCUCUGCUGCUGGCUCCUGUGGUAGAGACGCUGGUGCUGCUGGACCGCAUGAUCUACCUGCAGGAGAACGGUGUGGACAGUCAGCUGCUGCCUCUUUUUGACCCGGACUUUUCCCCAAGAAACUUUGUGCUGGUUGGUCUGAAGACCGGACGCUAGCAAAGAAAGGAACACUUGAAGCCGCACAAGCUUCUCCAUCUUGCGAUUCAGUUCAGAAAUCGCCCCAGACUGUGAUCCCACCUUCCAUCGCGACGAACAGCCUUUGGGCUCCUUGAGUGGCUGCCAUCAUCUUACAAUUUUACGAUACACCAGAGCAAUGGUGUAUCGCGAUCACGGUUCCAAAUACGUGGAUGUCUUCCACGUCCUCGAUGGAAAGGACUGAGAUGCACAUGGUUCUCCAUUCGUCCCAGGAAUCUCUCACGUACCCCACAGCAAUGGUUCCCUCAGGUAAGCCAGGCUCCUCAGAACCUCUUUUCCUCGGCGAAAAGAUUUUGUCAAUUGAGUCGAGAGUGCAGCUGAUCAAUUCCAUGUCUGAUGUUUGGAUUUGGAGGACAGCGCAAAGAAAGAGGCUUCAAAAAAAGUUUAGACAAGACAAAGAGAGCAAGCAAGGAGAAGACGGGAGGAGAAAAAAAUGCGACCGCCCUCACCAGAGGCAAGACGAAAAGCUGAUAUGUUUAAACUAAUAAUAAAUAAUACCUUACUUAGCCAGCCAUAACACAUUUUGUCUUUAAAUAUGUAUAACAUAUGUUUUUACCUUAUUUUCUUUGUUUUAUUAAAAAAUUACAAAAUGUCCCCGCCAUACUAGUAUGCGGCAUUUGGUGGAAAAAGUUUAGAUACUCUUAAUCUAAAAUAUUAGAAGCGUUAAAAAUAAAAAUACAUACAAUUAUAUACACAUUUUGUUAAUUACUUUGAAAAAAAAAACUAUGAAUUAAUACAAAAAUUACUACAACCAUAAUAAACACUGUUAAAUGUCUAACUGAAUAUUAAUAUUUUCCUACAGGCCGAACUUUUGAUACUCUCGGUUAUGCAGUUUAACAACCGUACUAUUAUUAGUAUUAUUAUUAUUUUUCUAUUAUUACAUGAGGGGAAAAAACAAUAGUAAAAAUGUAACAAAAAGAUCAAUACAUUGGAAAUUAAUGAGAAAAAGAGGAGAUUUUUAAACUAAUAACUAAUAAAAAUAUACUUAGUCACAUACAACGCUCCUAUUUUGUCUGUUUCCUGUGUUUCUCCCUGGGCACUGUUUCCCCUCGGAUGCGGCUGAUUGGCACCUGGCCACACCUGGUGUCAAUCAGCCUGAUCCUAUUGAGACCUGUUUUCUCCUCCAGUCAGGGCUGGAUUAUUGUCGUUUCUACCUGUCAUGUCGUAUCGUGUCAAUGCAACGUUGCGGGAAGCUAUAUUCGGUAGCUGUUUGUAGCUUACUGUCUUUUGUUCCCUGCUUCCAGUUUUUUUUGUUCAUAGCCAAGUUUGUUAUCCGCCUUGUGCGCGCUUUUUGUGUGUACCCUUUUGUUUUUGUUUUUGUCUUAGUGUUUUAUUAAAUCAUGUUUACCUGCAAAAUGCCAGCCUCCUUCUCUGCAUCUUAGGGUUCGUCACAAACUAACUCUAACAACAACCGUUCUAUUAUUAUUAUUAAUAUUAUUUUUCUAUUGUUACAUGAGGGGAAAAAACAAUAGUAAAAAUGUAACAAAAAGAUCAAUAAAUUGGAAAUUAAUGAGAAAAAGAGGAGAUUUUUAAACUAAUAACUAAUAAGAAUAUACUUAGUCACAUACAACACAAUUUUUUUUCUUUAAAUAUAUAUAAUAAUAUAUAAUACUUGACUUUACAGUAUGCGACCCUUGGUGGAAAAAGAUUAGAUGCUCUUAAUCUAAAAUAUUAGAAGCUAUCAAAAUAAAAAUAUAUACAAUUAUAUACACAUUUGGUUCAUUACUUUAAAAAAAAACCAAAAAACUUAUGAAUAAUAAAAAAAAUUACAACAACCAUAAUAAACACUAUUUAAUGUGUAACUGAACAUUAAUAUUUUCCUACAGGCCGAACUUUUGACACACUCGGUUAUGCAGUUUAACAACUGUCAGGCCUGGCCCUGACAGUUUGUCUAUGUUUUAGUGUUUUCCCCUGCAUUUGUCUUUGUUUCCUCUGUGUAUGUAGUAUUUCCUGUCAGCGCUCCUAUUUUGUCUGUUUCCUGUGUUUCUCCCUGGGCACUGUUUCCCCUCGGAUGCGGCUGAUUGGCACCUGGCCACACCUGGUGUCAAUCAGCCUGUCCUAUUGAGACCUGUUUUCUCCUCCAGUCAGGGCUGGAUUAUUGUCGUUUAUACCUGUCAUGUCGUGUCGUGUCGUGUCAAUGCAACGUUGCGGGAAGCUAUAUUCGGUAGCUGUUUGUAGCUUACUGUCUUUUGUUCCCUGCUUCCAGUUUUUUUUGUUCAUAGCCAAGUUUGUUAUCCGCCUCGUGCGCGCUUUUUGUGUGUACCCUUUUGUUCGGUUUUUGUCUUAGUGUUUUAUUAAAUCAUGUUUACCUGCAAAAUGCCAGCCUCCUUCUCUGCAUCUUAGGGUUCGUCACAAACUAACUCUAACAACAACCGUACUAUUAUUAUUAAUAUUAUUUUUCUAUUGUUACAUGAGGGGGAAAAAACAAUAGUAAAAAUGUAACAAUAAGAUCAAUAAAUUGGAAAUUAAUAAGAAAAAGAUGAUAUUUUUAAACGAAUAAUUAAUAAGAAUAUACUUAGUCACAUACAACACAAUGUUUAUUUCUUUAAAUAUAUAUAAUAA